rnacentral:rRNA from 1 species
UACGUAGGGUGCGAGCGUUGUCCGGAAUUACUGGGCGUAAAGGGCGCGUAGGCGGGUGACCAAGUCAGGGGUGAAAUCUUUCGGCCCAACCGGAAAAGUGCCUCUGAUACUGGUCGUCUUGAGGGAGGUAGGGGUCGAGGGAACUGGUGGUGGAGCGGUGAAAUGCGUAGAUAUCACUAGGAACGCCGGUGGCGAAAGCGCUCGACUAGACCUCUUCUGACGCUGAGGCGCGAAAGCCAGGGGAGCAAACGGG